rnacentral:rRNA from 1 species
UACGGAGGUGGCAAGCGUUGUUCGGAAUCACUGGGCGUAAAGGGCGCGUAGGCGGGGCCGGAAGUCUGAUGUGAAAGCCCUGGGCUCAACCUGGGAAUGGCAUUGGAUACUGGCGACCUAGAGUGCGGUAGAGGGGUGUGGAAUUCCCGGUGUAGCAGUGAAAUGCGUAGAUAUCGGGAGGAACAUCUGUGGCGAAGGCGACACCCUGGACCAGCACUGGCACUGAGGCACGAAAGCGUGGGGAGCAAACAGG